rnacentral:rRNA from 1 species
AACGAACGCUGGCGGCGUGCCUAACACAUGCAAGUCGAACGAGGAAGGUCGCAAGACUGAGUACAGUGGCGCACGGGUGAGUAAUACAUAGGAAUCUUCCCUUUAGUGAAGAAUACCCUGGAGAAAUCCAGGCUAAUACUGCAUAAGCCCAGAAAUGGGGAAAGGUGGCCUCAAGCUACCGCUGAAGGAUGAGCCUGUGUCCUAUUAGUUAGUUGGCAGGGUAAUGGCCUACCAAGACAAAGAUGGGUAUCCGGCCUGAGAGGGUGUACGGACACACUGGAACUGAAACACGGUCCAGACUCCUACGGGAGGCAGCAGUGGGGAAUAUUGCACAAUGGGCGCAAGCCUGAUGCAGCGACGCCGCGUGGAGGAUGACGGUCUUCGGAUUGUAAACU